rnacentral:misc_RNA from 1 species
CCCAACUAUCCCUAUUAAUCAUUACAACGGUCCUAGAAACCAACAAAUAGAACCACUGUCCUAUUCCAUUAUUCCAUGCUAAUGUAUUCAAGCGACUGCCUGCUUUGAACACUCUAAUUUUUUCACAGUAAAAGUCCUGGUUCCCCGCCACGGCCGGUUAAGGCCAUGACGCUUCGCCAGAAGGUAGGACCCGACCACAGACAGUUCUCACCCAGAGGGCGGACCGUCCAGCCAGGCCUGAAAUUCAACUACGAGCUUUUUAACUGCAACAACUUUAAUAUACGCUAUUGGAGCUGGAAUUACCGCGGCUGCUGGCACCAGACUUGCCCUCCAA